UACGACCACAUCACGUUAAAACACUUAUUUCUCGUCCGAUCACCGAAGUUAAGCAACGACGAACCUGGUCAAUACCUAGAUGGGUGAGCGCUCGGAAAUAACAGGUGCUGUAAG